GCCAAUGUAGCUCAGCUGGUAGAGCAACGCAUUCGUAAUGCGUGGGUCGGGAGUUCGAGUCUCCCCAUUGGCUCCA
rnacentral:tRNA from 1 species